rnacentral:sRNA from 1 species
UUUGGGUUCAUAAAAU